CCUAUGCCUUCACAAGAACAAGUUCCCACACCAGGGUCAAGAAGGAAACCGUAAGUCAAGACAAAAGUGCCCAGUGAAGGCAGAAGAUGAGGGGUCUCAGGUUGCAUCUUCGGAGGCACGAGGAUUCAAAGGUGAACAAAGCACACAGUACAUCAUUUGAUGUGGCAUUUUAUCUGACUGAAAGAUUAUAGAAAUAUGUGCA
rnacentral:lncRNA from 10 species